CCCAGCCGAGGCUGCGCAGUGGGAGACAGCCCGGUCGCCUGCCGGCUGGUCUUGCUUCUGCAGGCCCCGGGGAGCCUGGCGUGGGGCCCAGCCCGGGGAGGAUUCAGCGAGGAUUUCUCACAGCACCCUCCCUCCAGCCCAUCCUCUGUGCAUCUUUUUCCUGCGUCUCUGUCCAAAUGGCAGACGGUCCAGAUCAGACCUCUGCGCCUCUGUGCAGAUCCUAGGUCUUCUUUCCUGAGUGUUUCUCCUUUCUGCAACCUGUCUGGCCCUGCAGGCUUCCGGAGCACCCUCUAAUCCUGUCCGGGGGAGGGAAUACCCUUCACUUUGUUGCUUUUCUUCUUCUUUUUAAAAUGACUUCAAUCAGUUGUGAAAGCUGAGUUUUGGCUCGUCUUUUGGACCGGUAGCUGCUGCUUCCAGCUGCCUCCCAGCUAGGCCAGCUGCUUUCCUGUGCCACCUCUGCAGAGCCCAGAGCUCCAUCUGUCUGCUCACCCCGCCUGGCCCUGCUGAGCUUCUGAGCUCCACUGUGGAACAGGAAGCUCCUGGCUCCUGGUGCUGGGCCUGAAAAGCCGAGGGAGGGUCAAGCCUUGGAAGACCCCGUACUGACUAUCAGAUGAGGCUUCACCAUGGUAACCCAGAUUGGCCUCAGCCUCCUAGGCUCAAGCGAUCCUCCUGGCUCGGUCUUCUGGGACUCCUUGGGACUCCAGUUAAAAGCACGAGGCCCAGAGUUAUUAAAGCACUUCCGCCAGAUCGUAUGGUCCACGAAGACAGAAGUUGCUCUCAGGCCCCCACGGUUGUUCCCUGAAAAGGCUCGUGCUCUGGAGUAGGAUCUGGACCACAGGACCUAUCCAGAGAGCUCUCUUCAGCCGACUCGGGACACGACCCAGGAAAAUUUGGCUAACUUGAUUGCAGGUGUUUUGUGGGCUGGACUUUGAGAAACCUUGUGCUAGAAUCUCCUGCUCCAAUACUGAAUAUUUACCUCUUCCUCGGGGUGAGCAGUGUUGGUACACAUCCUGCCCCGGGAGUGUUUACUCCGCCAACUCAUCAGCGUGGAACAGGACGCUUCAUUUUUUUCUUCCUUAUAAAUCAUAAUUCUGUUUUAUUUACCUUACCUUCUUGCCUUAUUUUAAAAGUUUUAUUUAUUUUACAUUGACCAGUAGUCUGUGUAUUUAUGCGAUGUUCCGCUCAAUUCAUGGCCUGUGUCAUGUCUGGUGAGUUCUCACAAUAUUUCAGGUUUUCAUUGUCACUGUCACUGCGGUGGUGACCUGUGGCCGGGGGUUUUGCUGCUGCUGCUGUGGGGCUGAGGACUUUGUCCCUACAGAAAGGAGAAAUGUGUGCGUUCUCACCUCUCCACUGACCAGCGCUUCCUGCCCCCUCCCUUUCCUGGGCCUCCUUAUUUCCUGAGAAUACGGUAUUUAACUGAGGUCAGCUACUAACCUUGCAGUGGCCCUUAAGUGUCUAAGUGGAAAGAAAAGCCCCCAUCUCUCCAUAUCCUAAAUCAAAUAUAGACCUGAUGAAGCUUUGAGGAAGGCCUCUCAGAAGCUCACACAGGCUGGAAGCUAGGCCACUUGUGCUAAUCAGGUAGCCAAACUGUGAACAGAAGGAAAGUUGCUUGAAAAAAAUAAGCAAUGAUAUUCCUGUGAACCUACGGAUGACAGGAAUGUGACACAGCCUUUGUUACUGCCGUGGAGGGAGGGGCAGUGGUCUGGAUUGAAGACCAAAGGAGUGGAGGUCUGAGCCAGAGCCAGACCCCAGCUGUCUUCAGUUCUACAAAGGCCGAGGGUCCCGGCAGCUCCGGAGGGAGAGUCUGAGGAUGGUAGAGGUUGGAUCAAAAGACUUCAGGAAAGACGCGGUCUCUGUAAUCUGUCUGCAUAGACUGAAGCACGUGCUGAUGUAGAAGCUGUGGAAAGUUAUGCAGGAGGCUGAGCUGGGAUCCUUGAUGGAGGAAGCCAUGCAGAUUUUCAGGGCAGCUGAAAAGACUUUAUGUCUGCAGUCAUCACCACUGUGGACACGCCCAAUGUCCUUGAAAAGAAGAUUGUUCUAGACCUUCCCUAGCUUGAUAGAAGUCAUUGCUUGGUUUCUAGGCCUCAAAGGACUAGCUGACUCUUUUGUUAGGGGCUGCUGUAGCUGGUGAUUUCAAUUGAAACUGCUUUUCUACCCUGAAAAUCCUAGGGCCUUUAAGACUUUUCCUGAAUCUGCUCUGCCUGUGCUCAGACCUACAACUGGAAAAAUCAAGGCCGGAUGACAGCAGGCUUGUCUAUCAUGAGUCACUGAAUAUUUUGUGCCCACUAGGGAGAUCUGCUAAAGAUCUCGUAAAGAGAGAUUCCUUUCAAACGUUACUUCUCAGAGGCAAUGAGCUUGGUCAUCCAAGAGCUCUGAUGAAUGUGUACAAGAUUAGUGUUUCCAUGUCUACUAAUGCAACAUUCAUUUUCAAACUUUGGACCAAGGAGGAUUUUGACUUUGCAGUGUUUUUCUUUCCUUUGGGUUCCGCCAUGCUGUACAAGCUGACCUUGAAAUCACUGUCUAGCUCAGACUGACCUCAGGCUCACAGUGAUCCUCCUGCCUCUGCCUGCCAGCGCUAGGAUCACAGGUGUGCACUACCAUGCCUGGCUGUAGUAUUGCUUAAAAAUCACCUUUCCUAAGAUCUCUGACAGACUGCAGGGAAGUACACCUUGUGGAGAGGAUUCACCAUCAUAGACCUCAUUAAGAACAGUCAUGAUUCAGGGGUGGAAGUCAAGAUACCAAUAUGAACAGGGAUUUGGAGGAAUUGGAUUCCAGUCUUUGUGGAUUGCUUCAAGGAGUUCAGGACCUCAGGGCAGGAAGGAACUGUAGACGUGGUGCAAAUAGCAAGAGAACUAGAAUUAGGGACAGCCCGAAGAUUGCUGAAUUCUAAAACCUCAGGAUGAAGCUUUAAUGCGUGAGGGGUUGCUUCUAGUAGAGGAGCCAGGGACAUAUUCUCUGGAGCCGGAAUUCACUUGUGGUGAGGAUGCUGUGGACGUUGGUGAAGAUACAGCAAAGGAGUUAGAGAAGUGGAUAUAGCAGCAGCAGAAGGAGCACUGACACCAGCUUUGCAAGAAGUCUACCGUGGGCCAAGUGCUGUCAGACGCAUUUGCACCCACGGGGAAAGCUUUUGUGAGUGCUCGAGGCCACUAGGGCAGCAAACUUCACCGUGACCUUAAGAAAUCGCUGCAACCACCCUCCACUCCGGCGCCCACCACGACGCAGACCAAGGAGCAGAUCUCAAGAGCUAAGAAAAUUAGGACCUCCACUGAAGACCGGGAUUCAGCGAAUGCUCAGGUGAUUUUUAGCGAUUUCCUGUAUUCCUUCCAAGUGGUUUCUAAUCAGUGCCUGCCUGUGAUACACACUAGCGACAUUCUCUGUGAAGGGUCGGUAUGUACACAUGCCACAUCUCACUUACUUUCACGUCCCCCCCUUCCCUUGGCCCCCUUCUCAUCUGCAAAAUUCUAUCUCCCAGCUCCUAUUAUCUGUCCUUUGAUUUGCUCUUUCAUUUAUCUCCAUUUGGAUGUGAUAUGAAGGGAAACCGUGUAAUAUUUAAAGGCGUGUGACUUUUUAAAAGCAAUAGCACUUAAAAAUUAGGGUUUGUACACUUUAGACAUAACGUUGUACACUUACUAAACUAUGGUGUAGUACAAAUACAACUUUUGUCUGCACUGGGAAACCACGAAAUGUGUAUACUCGCUUUCCUGUGGCAUUUGGUUCAUUGCGGUAAUCUGGAAUUGAAUCCACAGUAGCUCCGGGUUAUCUCUGUGGCACAUUAUGAAGAGACUAAAUCACGUGAAUUUACAUAGAUGUCACUUCAUACUGUUUGUAGGGAGGUCAUUUAAAUUCUACUUUCUUUAAAAUUUUAAAGAUGAACCCAUAAUUACUCACCAUGCUCAGCGUGCUGUGUAGCAGAUCCCUGGAGCUGAACUAAAAACUUAUUCCCUUUGACCAACGUCACUUAUGUCUCCCCUUUCUGCAUCUGUAAGUUAGACUCUUCUAGAUCCCAUGUACACGUGACAUCAUGCAUUAUUUGUCUUUCUGUGGCUGGCUUAUUUCACCCAGUACAAUGUCCUCCAGGUUUAUCCAUAUUGUCCACGGUGAUGUAUUUUCUGUUUGCUUUGACAAGAGGAGACCCAUUUGUUUCAUCCUAAAGACUCCCGGAAAGCCUCGACUAUGGAGUUAAGGAGCAGAGCCCAGCUCCCCUUCACACCAUCCGAGUCACAAUCUGUUCUUCACAAGGACGGUGCUUCCCACCCUGGCUCUGGAGCUGUAACUGAAACAGUGUUCUGAGAGUAUGGCAAGCAUUGGUUCCAUGCUGAGUUCCUGUAGCUUGGCUGAGGCUGGAUCUGUAUGUGCUUUGAAGAGUCUGGAUUGCUGCUGAUUUCCCUGCUAGGUGUGACAGGGUGUGACACGGGUCAGUGAGGGACUGGGCGCUUCUGCUGAUCACUGGUCGCAGAUCCAGGCUGCAGGUGCCGAGAGCAGACUCAAUGGACUGUGGACCUACAUGUGCAAAACCACAUAAGGACUCCAUUUAGGACCAUUCCUCAGGCAUUAAUUGAGGGUCAGGGCAUUAAUUGAGGGACAAGGCCUUUCCUAUGCUGAGAUCCACCACAGAGUGCAAAGCUAUGAGUGUUGUUCUCAGUUUCUAACAAUGAGCAAAGUUUACCCUGUUAGGUUUCAGACUUGCUAGGGACCUGGGACCCUUUUUCCAUCAAAUUCUCCCUUUUGAAGUAAGGAGACAGAGAUAGGAUAGACAUUCCUAUUCCAGAAGCAGAGAGUUUGUCUAGCACCACAGGUUCAUAGAUGGAGAGGAAUUUUGCCCAAGGGUGAGUCAUAUCCUGAGUCUUGCCUGUAUCUAAUUUAAAGACUAUUUGGAUGCGAUUUUGGACUAAGAGCUGAUGUUGGAAAAGUUGAGGCAGCUGGGGAUGUUGGGACGGGAUGACUGUGUUUUGCCUGAGAUAAGGGCAUGCAUCUUAGAGGGUCAAACAGUUAAUUACAUUUUGAUGUGCUAACCCCUAAUACCGAGUAUGACCUUAUUUGGAAAUAGGAUAGCUGUAAAUGGAAUUAGGGAAGAUGAAGUCAUCCUGAGUAGGAUGGGCCCUAAUCCAAGGUGACUGAUGUCCUUGGACAAGGAGGAAGUUUGGACAUUGACUUGCACACAGGGAGGACAGUAUGCAAAGAUGAAGGCGGCGAUAAGACCAAAGUAUCUCCGGGCUGGGGAACGCCAAAGAUGGCCAGCAAACCGCACGGGCUAGGAGGGCACCGUGAAGGAGAGUCUCCCUUCCCUGCCCUCCUGACACCUCGAGCUCAGAUUUUCAGCCUUCAGAGUGUGGGAAAAUAGAUUUCUGUUGUGUAAGCCCCCACAUGUGUGAGAUUUUGUCAUGGCGGCUCUGAGAGACUAACAUGGAUUUAGUUAGGAAUUAAAGCUUCCUGGAUGCAAAACUUCUGAGCUACCUUUAUCUCUAUCCCUAAUCAUUUAAUGACUCUAUUUUGAGAAAAUUAUGAUUCAGAAAAAGAUAGCAUGGAGUUAGAGUUUAAUACCGGAAUGUCCACGAGGGUUAGUGUCUGCAGGGCCUUUCUUUGCAGCCAUAGCAUGGAGGGGUGCAGCUCAGAACCCACCCCCACUGCGAGCCUGGGGGAUAGUACGGUGCAUGUGCUGUGGCCUGUAAUAGAGUCAGUUGAAAAACAAAAAUGGCCCUUGAAUGUGAUGAAUUUCUUAGUGAUCUCUCCAGAAGUCCACUUAGUGAUGUUCUCUUGUUAAUGAUGCCAUUUUGUCUCAUCCUCUGUCUGGGGCAAGCCAGGAGUCAGGAAGGGAAGACUUCAUUUCCCUGGUUCCCAGGGGCCAGGUAAGUUUUCAUUGCCACCAUCUGCCUUUUGAAGACAGCAGAUGAGUGGAGAGCUGAAGAUUCUUCAUGUCAGAGAUGUGAAGUUUGUGCCAUACACUGCCACCUGAUAGGAUUUCAUCCAGUAACUGUUUCUUUCUUUGAUCAAAAGGCAUAUUUCUAAGGUAAGGUGUGUGGAAUAACAAUAUGCCCAGACCAGUUAUAGAGCCACUCCAAAUCUUUGCAAAUAUUAAGGAAAGUGUGUUGGGUUGUAUUAAAGCAACUAUGUGGUUGGUAUCGGGAUCUUCGACAAGGGAAAUGUGGGCAUGGAGCCCCGUCAGACUCCUCUGUACAAGCCGCUGACCCUCACUAGGCAGGAAUGCACCCUGGUUGUCCAGGGCCUGGAAACCCUUGCACCAUUGCUCAGGAUGCCACCAUCAGCAUCAGCUCGCCUUUGUCUCAGUGAAGACACAGAGUCAGACAGAGUAAGUAUCAGAUACGGGAGUUUACAAACCCAAAGCUCUCAGAGACGGAAGGUGCUAAACCUCUGUUUCCAGGCAGGAAGUGUACAGCUGGGGCUGUGUUCAGUUCUCCAUCCUGACCACUUUCCAGACAGAAUUCCUAGCUCCUAGUCGUCAGGAUGCACGGGCACGGCCUACUGAGAGCUUUCCACAUGAGUGAAUGAAGUUAUUUGCUUUCUGAGGCUUAGCACUGCCUCAGAUGCUCAUGUGCUGCAUCCCUGGCCUUGGCGGACUGAUUUGUCUGCCCAGAGUGUGGUUAAUGUUUUAUCCCGGUGGAAAAUGGUUAAGGCUUCCCUCGCCAAUAAAGGCAGCAGGGUGGGGUGUUGGCAGAGGAGGGAGAGCAGUCAGCAGCAGUGGAGAAGGUGGUUUCUUGUGGGGGAGAGGACUUAGAUGUGUGUGACUUAGAUCUGUGCAUUCAGAUGUAAAGUGCUCUUAGGAUCUGUGAGGUUUGUAAUUCUUCAGGACAGGUUUCAUCCCCACAACCUCCUGGUUCAGCCAGGAGACAGAAAUCCUUCAAGAUGUCUUCAACAGAAAGCAUUUAAUACAGGGAACUGGUUACAUGGGAAGAGAUGAGAAGCUACGCAAGCGAUGAUUACUGCAGCAGGAGGCUGCCAGCUUUAGGAUCAGAGACACUGAUAUGACCCAGAGCCCAGGAGCUGGGCACUGGGUGGAAAUGAGAACCAGACUAUUGGUUAGAAGCUAGGCACCCCCACCAUGCCACCACAGGAGAAGGAGCCACUUUCCAGGGUGCCGCCUGAUGAAAGUGGCCAAUUCCCACUGAUGUGUACUCGGAAGCCACUCAGCAAGGGAACCCAAGAAGAGGAAUCAAGAAAAAGGGCUCAGAGAGGCCUGAGAGCAGAAGGCAAGUGGCCAGCAUGGCCGUGAUGGAGGAGCACAUUGGCAGACACCUUGAGGAAGUGUCUCUGAAUGUGCAUGCUGGCGCUGGGAGUCAGACACAUGCAUUUGCUGGCCAACAUCACACCAGGGCAGAGCCAGCACUUCAGCCUGGGUUAUCUGGCUCAGUUCUCUAAUACCCAGGUAAAGAAUGGGCUCUGGCCUUUGGAGGAAGAGGUUUUCUGGGGAUGCUUGGGUAGAGAGGAGAAGAGUCGACAGACUGGACAGGUGAUGGUUUAUGAGGUGGCUGAUUAGUCCAACGUGAGCUUUAGAGACUCUAGCCUACCUGAGGCCAGCUCAGUGCCCAGAUUACAGGGAAAGAAGAGCCUGUCCCUUUCAGUGCCUUUUCAGUGAUUUGGUGACUAUAUGAGUCUUAUGGUCUGGAUCAAAAUUAAAAAGGCAACUCUCAGUGGAAGGAGGCCUUGUUGACAGGCCAGAGUGAGAGAAUAGGGUUGGAGGAGCUGUCUGUUUAGCAAGUAUUUCACCCAAUUUAGAUUCCCAGUGGCAGAAUUUUAGGAGCAGCUGCAUGAAAAGUGAGAAAAGUGAUUUUAGCCAUGGUUUGGGUGGUUGGUAGGAUUAGAGAGUGGGGCAGUGUUUUGGUUUGAGUCUGGAUGUCCCCCCAAAGCCUCAUGCAGUUAUAGAAACAGGCUGCUAGGAUCUGUGACUGAUUCAUGGUCCAGUGCUGCGAUUAUGGGUGUGGGUUCCACACCCCAGUGGAUGUGGCCUAUAGACAAUAUAAGGGACUCUCUAUGCUCUUCCCAUUUUGCUCUUGUUGCUUGUGCUGUUUUCUGCUUCCAUGAGCUGUUGCCCUCUGCCAUGUGCCACUCUGCCUUGGAGCCAGCUGAAUAUGGACUGAAACCUCCACAAACUGUGAGCUAAAUAAACCUUUCCUUCAUUCACUUUGGGUGUUGGGUAUUUUGUCCCAGCAGUGAUGGAAAAGUAACCAAGACAGGCAACUUCCAAGCCAAAUUGAGAUUUCAAAGCAGAAGCAGUAGCCUGCAGAUAUGUCCCUGCGCCCACACUAUUUGCCAGGCAGCCAGCAACAUCCUGGGAAAGCGGAAGCGAGGUCGUCCCCCAAAUCCAGCAAGGCCGUCCAUUGUGACUCACAGGGCUCUGUGGAGUUUGGAAUGGAGUUUUGUGUCACAGCAGUGUUUUCGAGUUAGUUGCCUAACCUAGGUGAUGGGUGUACAGAAUACAGGGGAGAGUUUGGACUCGGGCAGCAGAGCCAUACGUAUUGCAACAUGAUCAGUUUAUGCACAGCACUGCUGAUUGGUCACAAGUUUGCCAAAAAUGUUUCCAGACGUCACUAACAGGUUAAUCCAGGCACUCAUUGGGUGAGACAUAAUUUCCAAAAGGCUAUGAGUGCUCCAUGUUUUCUCUAGACUCCAUCAUGUCAUCACCAGGUGAUGGAAGCUACAUUUCCGAGCCUUCAGAUUUCCCCUCUCCUUUUGUUAGUGGCUUCUGGAAAGAUGCAUUUUGUUCUUCCAAUGGCAUCUAAGCUAUCAUGCCUCAUGCUCAAACCCCCUCCAAAGGUGCUUUGCAAACUCUUCCAAGCUAAUUGAGAUUUCAAAGCAGAAGCGGUAGGCCUGCAGAUAUGUCACUGCUAACAUGGCUGCUAACAUGGAUGAUAAGAAACCUUGCUUUAAGGAUGCCAAACUGAAUGCAAAACCAUUUUCUUAAAAUAAAUGAUCAUGAUCAAAAGAAAAGGGAAAAUUAAAAAUGGUACUUUGACUUCAUAUUUCUUGCUAUCACAACCUGUAUUCUGUAUUUCCUGAUGCCCAGGGCUUUGAGCAUCGAGGUUCUUUAUCUGACCCUGGAUAAGGGCCACCCAUUUUGGCUCUGAAUGGCCCAGCCUGGCAUUUGAUGAUCUCAUUCCACUGGCAAGUUUGAUCCAAAGAGAGCACUUCAUUAAUUACACUCAGCACAAGUACCUGGGAAUCUGCCUCUGUGCUUGGAGAAUAACCUCACUUCAUAAAUAAUCCAAUUUAUUUAGCACAGUGUACUCAUGACCUUCAAGAAAAUGCCAGACACUGAUGGGACCAAUUGCUGUCCUGGAAGGCAGGGUGGGUGCGACAGGGAAGGAAGGCAGCACUUGUUUUGUUUAUGGGAAGGCAACCACGCAGCUCUGCUGGCGCCUGCACCUCACUGUGUAGGAAACCGGGAUUCUGCAGCUUUGCCCCAGCAGAAGGAGCUCUAUUGAGUCCUGAGUUGUGAUAGUUCCAGAGAAAACCCAGGUUUUAUCUCUGUAGCCAUAGGAAUAACCAAGGGGGUCACCCUUGGUGCUGUAGCCCCACUAUUGGGUCUCUGUGCUCAUUCAUUCAAUGACUGUUUAACUUUGCCUCCUCCAGCCAAUAUCAGUGUCAGGUGCCAGAGACACAUGACAAGAAGGCCCUUUAAUAAGUGCAUGAUUACAGAAUCAAUGGCAGGACCGGGGAGCUCACAGCAUUUUUUGAGAAAAUAGAAGAUGAAUAUUUGCUGGAGGUGGUACUUGGAUGUUAUGCUCCUUCUUUAGGAUUCCACUGCUGCUGUAUUUGUGCACAGGAAGUCCUGACUGUGGCUUUUGUUGGGAGGGGGGACAUUAUCCUAGAGUUUCCUUCUCUUUCUCAAGCUUUUUUCUGUCUGUGUCUUGUCAAUUUUGUCAGUCUUUCUACACCAGGAGUCUACGAACUGAACAUUUUCUCAAAGUCAGUGCACAGAAUGAGAGACUAAGCCAGGGGCACCUCCUGGGGUUCUGAGGGGCCAGGAGAGGGCAGUGUCCGAAGAAGAUCCGAGCCUAGGUGGACACCAGAAUCCCGGCCAAGUAGGGUAGAAACAGAGCAUGGGAAUGGUGUGAACCAGAGGAUGACUGGUGGGGAGACUCCCCGGAAACCCAGGAGGCCGGCAGAGGGGAGAAGAGCACAAACGGUGGAGAAAUGCCCACCCCAGGAAGACUUUCUGGACACUGUGGCAGCCUCCUGUCGACCUCAACCACCCUCCCACAUGCUGCAAGAGUGACGCUCAGCAAGGGCUUCACUUAUGACCUGCAAGUGAAGUCAGGGAAGGAUAUGUUAUGUUAGGAGCCAUUGGUUUGAGGAGCCCAGAGCCGAGGUUUUCCCUGUGCAGAAGUCCAGAACCUGAGCACAUUGCUAGGACUCCGGCCAGCUGGUGAAACUUUCUUGCUCUGGGAUUUCUGCUGGCUAGAGGCUGUGGAAGAAGGACCGUGAGGAGCCUCUCAAGCCACACAAUGCCAGAGGCAUGCCUGGGGCCAGCCUAGACACCGUCUCUGCAGACCACCUCGUGGGACCGGGGAACUCCAGCCAGAGCUCCCACCUUUCCUCCCAGAACCUUGGACUACAGUGGAUUAACUGUGCUAGCUUGAAGAGAGAUUUAGAACGCCUCACCCAAACAGAAGAUCUCAGCAGGCUCUAGUCAGUGUGGCGAGUAUGCCUCUAACAUAGAGGUGUACAGUAGGUAAAUACGCCAGUAGUAAAGCUCCCUCCAACUAACUGUAAGACCUUGCUGAGUCUGACAAGAGUGUGAAUGACUUCUUCCUGCACACAGAAAACAUGAGGAAUGUGCCAAUAAGGACUCCCCCAAAUUGGAGAAAAUCAAAAGGGCUUAUGAGAUACACAGGCACACAAAAGGGACACAGUAGGGCCUCUGCUGACACAAAUAAUACAGACAAGGAGAUUUGGUGACCUGGAAUAACCUGAAGAUAAAGAAAUAGCAGAAACUACAAGUUGACCUACAUCAUUACUACCAGGCUUGACUGCCCAGGAAGAAUACUGGACUCACCCAACAGGUCCUGCAGUGGGGAGUCAGAUGAUUGGCCCAUUUAUUCAUUGUGGGACCCAGCAUUGGACAAACAUCAACCUUACAUUAGGACCUCAAGAUACACAUUACCAAUAGUUGACUCUAGUGGGACUGAAGGACCAAAUACUGACUCAAAGAGGGAAAACAGCAAAAUGAAAAAGCAAAAUGCAAUCUCAAACAUCUAGUCCACCAGGAGCAAGUACAGGACACACUGAAAUAGAGGAGUUCAAAAGUAACACAUCAGAAAUCUCUGAGAAGAUAGUGAGUGAAAUAAAAAAACAACUUCAUGAGGCUAUAGAGGAAAUCAAAUUAGAAGUACUCUCCCAUGUAAAGAAAUAGCAACCUUAGUAAAGGAGUUGCUGAGCACAGCUAAAGAAGAAAUAGAGAAAAAAGUACAGGAGCAGGGGAAACUGAUUGAAACCUUGAAUGAAUGAUAUAGAAAACAAACAGAAUUCAUGAAACAAACUCAAAGAGACAUCCAAGAAACAAAAAAUUCUAUUCAAAGCUGGCAAAACCGUUUAAAUGAGGCUGGCUGAGGAUAGGAUUUCGGACCUUGAGGACAGGAUCACAAUUAGUGAUCAUGAAAGGGUAGAACUUUUAAAAAUAACAAAGCAGCAUGAAAUAACAAUCCAGCAGCUUCAAGAUGAUGCCAAGAGAAAAAAUAUAGGAUUAAUAGGCAUUAGUGAAGAUGCAGUAGUCAAUGCAAAUGACAUAAUCAAAAUAUUCACAGAAGUAAUAGAAGAAAAUUUUCCAAACAUGGAGAAAAAUCUGAUAUGCAGAUAGGUGAGGCAUAUAGAAUGCCAAGCAGUCACAAGCAACAUAAAUCUACACACAGACAUAUAAUAAUUAAGGUCUCAGACAUACAGCAUAAAAACAGAAUAUUAAAAGCUGUUAGAGAAAAGACACAGCUCACCUACCAAGGAAAGCCCCUUAGAAUAAUGACAGGCUUUUCAGCACAAACCUUCAAGUCAAGAGGAACUUGGAGUGAGGUAUUUCAAGCCCUGAAAGAAAACAACUUUCAACCCAGACAAACUUUCAUUCAUAUUUAAUGGAGAAACAAAAUACCUCCAUGACAAAGAAGAACUGAAGAAAUUCACAUCCAGCAAGUCAAUCCUAGAAAGAGUAUUGAAAGAAAUACUAGCUAGAGAUAAAAGUGACCACAAUCCCCAGAACAACAACAGGAAGAAACCACCAGGUAGGACAAACAAUUAAACAAUGAGGAAAAACAGAAAGCAAAGAACUGGAACAUAACAUGGCAAAGUGGAGCCAGUACAUAUCAGUUAUAUCCAUAAAUGUAAAUGGCCUCAAUUCACCUAUCGAAAGAAAUAGGUUGACAGAAUGUAUCAAGAAACAGAAUCCCACAAUAUGCUGUAUACAAGAAAUACAUCUGACCUAAAAGGAAACUCGUAGAUUAAAAGUCAAAGGAUGGAAAACAGUGUUCCGUGCAAUAAGAACCUAGAAAAAAAGCAGGGGUAACUAUUCUAUUUUCAGACAGUGUGAACUUCAAACCUAAAAUGGCUAAAAGACAUAAAGAAGGUCACUACAUACUUGUUAGUGGAAAAAUUCAAGAGGAUGAACUAACAAUUUUAAAUAUAUUGCACCAAAUACAGGAGCACCCAACUAUACAAGACAAAUACUAACGGACAUGAAAAACCAAAUACAUAAGAACACAAUUACAACAGGGGACCUUAACAGCCCAUUGUCACAAAGAGAUAGAUCAAAUAGACAAAAAGUUAACAAAGAAAUAAUAGAACUGAAUCAUACUUGCAAGCAAUUGGACUUAGUAGAUGUUUACAGAGUGUUCCACCCAACCAUGUCAGAAUACACAUUCUUCUCAGCUGUGCAUGGGACAUUCUCCAAACUAGACCAUAUAUUAUCCCAUAAAACAUUCUUAAGUAAAUGCAAAGGUAUUGAAAUUAUCCCAUGCAUACUAUCUGACCAUAGCGCACUGAAAUUGGAAAUUAAUGGCAAAAAUUGCAAAACCUGCAUAAAUACAUGGCAAUUAAAUAACAACCUUUUGAACAACCAGUGGGCUACAGAUGAAAUUAAAGAAGAAAUAAAGCAAUACCUACAAUUCAAUGAAAAUGCAGAAAAAACAUACUGUAACUUGUGGGAUGCAAUGAAAGCGAUCUUAAAAGGGAAACAUAAAUUGUCAUAUCAAGAAAACAGAAUGAGCACAAAUAAACAACCUAAUGCUUCACCUCAUGCUUCUAGAAAAAGAAGAGCAAGUUAAACCCAAAGCUCAUAGAUGAGAGGAAAUUAUAAAGAUCAGAUCACAAAUCAAUGCAAUUAAAACUAAAAAAACCCCCAAAGAAUUAAUGAAUCAAAAAGCUGGCUUUUUGAAAGAAUAAACAAAAUUGACAAACCUCUAGCUAAUGUCAUAAAUAAAAAGAAAGAAAAAACCUAAAUACAUGCAAUAAGGACUGAAAAGGGGGAAAUUACUACAGAUCCCACGGAAAUUCAAAAGAUCAUGAAUAUCUACUUUGAAAAUGUCUACUCACAUAGAGUGGAAAAAACAGAGGAAAUGCACAGAUUUCUAGAAACACAUGAAAUACUAAAGCUAAACCAAGAAGAUAUAGCAAUUUUAAAUCACCCAGUAUCAGCUAUGAAAUUGAAAAUGUAAUUAAAAACUUAGCAACAAAGAAAAGCCCAGGUCCUGAUGGAUUCAUGGCUGAAUUCUACAAGAAAUUUAGAGAAGAUUUGAUGCCAAUACUCCUUAAACUCUUCAAUGAAACUGAAAAGGAAGCAAUCCUCCCUAAAUCAUUCCUUAAGGCAAGUAUUACUCUCUACCAAAACCAGAGAAAGAUCCCACCAAAAAGGAGAACCAUAUACCAAUCUCACUAAUGAAUAUUGGUGCAAAGAUUCUCAAUAACAUACUGUCAAAUAGAAUACAGCAAAUCAUCAAGAAGAUUAUACAUCAUGACCAAGUAGGAUUCAUUCUAGGAAUGCAGGAAUGGUUUAACAUAUGCAAAUCAAUAAAUAUAAUACAAUAUAAUACAUCGACAGAGACCAAAACAACAACCACAUGGUCAUCUCAAUAGAUGCAGAAAAAGCUUUUGAUAAAGUCCAACACAAGUUCAUGAUAAAAACCCUUCAGAAACUCAGAAUACACGCUGUCUACCUCAAUCAUAUAAAGGCCAUCUAUGACAAACCGACUGCCAACAUGAUACUAAAUGGACAAAAACUGAAAGCUUUCACACUAAAAUCAGGAACAAGACAAGGACGUCCUCUAUCACCAUUCCUAUUCAAUAUAGCUCUUGAAACACCAGCCAGGGUAAUCAGACAAGAGAGAGAAAUAAAAGGAAAAGAAGAAGUUAAACUAUCACUAUUUGCAGAUGACAUGAUACUCUAUAUAGGAAGACCCAAAAAAACUCCAUUUAAAAGACUACUAGAGGUAAUAAACAAAUUCAGCAGUGUAGCUGGAUACAAAGUCAAUGCUUAAAUAUCAAUAGUAUUGCUGUACACAAACAAAAAACUCACUGAGAGAAAUUAUGGAAAUAUCGUCUUUCACAAUAUCAUCUAAAAAAAUCAAAUACUUAGGAAUUAACCUAACCAAGAGUGUAAAGUCCUAUAUGCUGAAAAUUAUGCUAUGCUAAAAAAGGAGACUGAAGAGAAUAUUAGCAAAUGGAAGGUUAUUCCUUGCUCAUGGCUAGGAAGAACCAACAUUGUGAAAAUGGCCAUACUCCCAAAACUGUUACACAGAUUUAACACAACCCCAAUCAAAAUACCAUUAACAUACUUCACAGAUCUAGAGAAAACACUCCUAAAAUUCAUUUGGAAACAGAAAAAGCCUAGAAUAGCAAAGGCAAUUCUGGGCAAAAAGGCAAGCCAAGAGGCAUCUCAAUUCCUGAGUUGAAACUAUACUACAAAGCCACAGUAAUAAAAUCAGCAUGGUACUGGCAAAGAAAUAGAUCUGAGGAUCAAUGGAACAGAUUAGAAGAUGUAAACACAACUACAAAGACACUCAGCCACCUGAUAUUUGACAAAGGGGCUAAACAUGUUCACUGGAAGGAUAGGCUCUUUAAUAAAUGGUGCUGGAAAAAUUUGCUCUCCACAUGCCGAAGACUGAAACUAGAUCCAUGCCUAUUACCAUGCACAAAGCUAAAGUCUAAAUGGAUCAAAGAUCUAAAUAUUAAAAUGAAACACUAAAUCUACUGGAAGACAAGGUAGAUAAAAGUCUUGGAGACUUAGAGGUAGGCAGAGAAUUCAUGAAUAAAAUGCAAACUGCAUAGUAAACACUUCAAAGAAUCAACAACUAGGAUCUCUUAUUAUUAAAAAGUUUCUUCCCUUCAGAAGAAAUCACCAACAGAGUGAAAAGAAAACCCACAGAUGGGAAAGAAUUAUAGCCAGCAACCCCUCAGACAAAGGACUUAUAUCCAGAGCAUAUAAAGAAUUGAAAAAUAUCAAGCCCUCUAAAUUCAAAGACCUUCUCUAAAAAUGGGCAUCUGAGAUGAACACAUUUCUCAGAUGAAGAUAUACAAAUGGUAAAUAAAUACAUGAAGAAAUGCUCACCAUCACUGGUCAUUUGAGAAAUGCAAAUUAAAAACAGCAUUAAGAUUUCAUCUCACUCCGGAAAGAAUAGCUGCCAUGAACAAAUCAACUGAUAACAAAUGUUGGCGAGGCUGCGGGGGAAAAAGGAACACUGCUCCACUGUUGGUGGGGUGUAGACUGGUGCAGCCACUAUGGAAAUCACUAUGGAGAUCUCUCAGAAGACUAGAAUUGGAAGUUCCAGUCAACCCACUAUUCCCCUCCUGGGUAUUUUCCCAGAAAACCUGACAAGGUCAUACCACAGUGAUGUAUGUGCACCCCUGUUCAUAGCAGCACAAUUUGUAAGAGCUAAAUCUUGGAAACAACCAAGAUGCCCAUCAACAGCAGAGUGGAUGAGUAAGAUGUGGUAUUUUUAUACAAUGGAAUAUUACUUAGCUAUAUUAAAGGAUGAUCUUCAUAAGCAAAUGGAGACAACUUGAGACUAUCCUGAUAAGUGAAAUAAAUAAGAAUCAUAUUUAUAAAUAUCACACUGUGUAGUAUAAAAAGUAAUAAGAAAUGUAAGAGUAAUAUAACCCAAAAUGUGUAAUUGCUAUUGUGAAAAAGACAGGAAAAGAAAGUGCUCUAAAGGAUAUAACUGCAUGUAUGUUUAAGUGUGUAGGAUUGAUAACCAUAUUAGCAGGUUUUUUUGGAUAGUUGAACAGAGGUGGUUGUAGUCUCGAUGUUUGAAUGUCCACUUUAUGUGAUUUACUUUUGUAACUUAAACAUCUAUUUCUUUUCUUUCUUUCUUUCUUUUUUUUUUUUUUUUUUUUUGGUACUGGGGAUCAAACUCACGACCUCACGCUUGCCAGGCAAGCGCUUACACCACUGAGCUAAAUCCCCAGCCCUUGAACAUCUAUUUCUAAGAGGACAAUAUGUAAUUUAUCAACUAGUGAUUUCUUACUGUUUAUUUUUUUUUAAAUUACGUAUUACUUCUACCCUUUUUCUGUUUUCUUUUUCUUUUUCUUUUCCUCUUUAAAUAAAAAAAAAAAGACAGAGCCAACACCUGGGUGGACUCUUUUUGGUUUAUUUCUUAGAGUGUGGACCUAACAAGGACGUCCUAUAAACCUUUGAGGGAAUUCAUUUUUCAAGGCGAUUCCACGAGCUCAGGACAUCAAAGAACCACCUCUCCUCGGAACAUGGACUUGCCGGCUGGUGUUCCUCUCAGUUUUCUUUAGUGAGUUUCCUUCCAUGGGAAAAAAAAAAUAAACGCGAUGCUGAUGUUCAGA